CCUACGGGAGGCAGCAGUGAGGAAUAUUGGUCAAUGGCCGGAAGCCUGAACCAGCCAAGUCGCGUGAAGGAUGAAGGAUCUAUGGUUUGUAAACUUCUUUUAUCUAGGGAUAAAGUGAGGAACGUGUGCCUUUUUGUAGGUACCUUAUGAAUAAGCAUCGGCUAACUCCGUGCCAGCAGCCGCGGUAAUACGGAGGAUGCGAGCGUUAUCCGGAUUUAUUGGGGUUAAAGGGUGCGUAGGUGGUUCAUUAAGUCAGCGGUGAAAGUUUGUGGCUCAAACACAAGAUGGCGGUUGAAACUGGUUGACUUGAGUAUACUAGAGGUAUGCGGAAUGCGUGGUGUAGCGGUGAAAUGCAUAGAUAUCACGCAGAACUCCGAUUGCGAAGGCAGCUUACUAACCGAGAACUGACGCUGAGGCACGAAAGCGUGGGGAUCGAACAGGAUUAGAUACCCUUGUAGUC
rnacentral:rRNA from 1 species